rnacentral:miRNA from 1 species
UUGUGGAUACUAGGAACCAAAGUAAGGUCCUCUCUAAGAGCAUCAGGCUCGGCCUGGAGGGAUGGUUCAGCUGUUAAAGGCUAGGCUCACAACCAAAAAUAUA